AAACCUUGGAGUUUUCUGCUUUUUGAAAGACACAGUACUGUUCAACAAAAUCUGAUCGCAUCGAAUUACUAUCGUCAUUAAGGAAAAAAUUUAUACUCUUGACCUUCAAUUAAAACCUUUCUGUCACGAAUCGAAAUUAACUCGACGUUACAAAGGAUAUUCGAGAAACGUGAAACAACCAGAUACAAAACUAGCCCAAAAAAAAAAAAUUGUUCCAACGAUUACAAUCUCUACAAUGACCACUACGUAUUGUCAUUCGUGGAGUCAGACAGUCAAAUAAGACGGCUGUUGUUUUUUUUAUUUUUUAAACUAUUACAUCCCUGAGAAUUGGUUAUUGACAUCUCUAGAAAAAGAAUAUCUAUCCCGAAUAGAACAUUCGUCGCUCUCUUUACAACGCUGUUACGCUUAAUGAACGUCGAAGAAGAUCUUCCCGAUGAAAUUCGCAGACGCUGUGCCAGCCAUUUUCAAACAUGUGCGGAAUCUGUAAGAAAAUAAUCUGAUGAAUCUGAUGAAUUGGAGCCAGAUCGACACUUGAUGCGUACAGUAUUGUCAAAACUGGCACAAUGCAUCAUGCUCGAGAUACCCCAGUUGAAAAGACCAUAGCGCGUCUCGAAGGCCGGGAUGAAGAAAGGACAGGCUGUGUCGUGUCUGCGACAGCAUGCGUCAGCCGUGCCAAAACCACCUAGUUGAUUUCGCGCCCUGUUCCUCAGGUGGGCGCAUCGGUGACGGAGGUCGAGCGUGGACGAGAGCCAGGAGAGGUUCUGCGGGAUU